UACGAAGGUGGCAAGCGUUGUUCGGAUUCACUGGGCGUACAGGGUGUGUAGGCGGUUUGGUAAGCCCUUCUGUUAAAGCUUCGGGCCCAACCCGGAAAGCGCAGAGGGUACUGCCAGGCUAGAGGACGGGAGAGGAGCGCGGAAUUCCCGGUGUAGCGGUGAAAUGCGUAGAGAUCGGGAGGAAGGCCGGUGGCGAAGGCGGCGCUCUGGAACGUUACUGACGCUGAGACACGAAAGCGUGGGGAGCAA
rnacentral:rRNA from 1 species